AUUGAACGCUGGCGGCAUGCCUUACACAUGCAAGUCGAACGGCAGCACGGGAGCAAUCCUGGUGGCGAGUGGCGAACGGGUGAGUAAUAUAUCGGAACGUGCCCGGUCGUGGGGAUAACGUAGCGAAAGCUACGCUAAUACCGCAUACGAUCUACGGAUGAAAGCGGGGGAUCGCAAGACCUCGCGCGAUUGGAGCGGCCGAUAUCAGAUUAGGUAGUUGGUGAGGUAAAGGCUCACCAAGCCGACGAUCUGUAGCUGGUCUGAGAGGACGACCAGCCACACUGGGACUGAGACACGGCCCAGACUCCUACGGGAGGCAGCAGUGGGGAAUUUUGGACAAUGGGCGAAAGCCUGAUCCAGCCAUGCCGCGUGUGUGAAGAAGGUCUUCGGAUUGUAAAGCACUUUAAGUUGGGAGGAAGGGUAGUAACCUAAUACGUUGCUACUUUGACGUUACCGACAGAAUAAGCACCGGCUAACUUCGUGCC
rnacentral:rRNA from 1 species